rnacentral:tRNA from 1 species
GGAGAGGUGGCUGAGUGGUCUAUGGCAGCGGUCUUGAAAACCGCCGUACCGAAAGGUACCGAGGGUUCGAAUCCCUCCCUCUCCGCCA